CAACAAUACUCGCCUUCGUCCCCCUUUUGUGGCGCCAUCGCAUCGCGUCGCAGGUUUCACUUCCCCCUUCGUCCACGUCUCUCCACCCAACUGUUCAUACAGCCCCCCUACCUGUCGCUACCUGUGAGGGUGAGUGAGAGCUCCGGCGAAGCAGAAGCGCGAGGAGAUGAUGUCGAAUGAGAUCGGUGUGCAGGACAAUUACGGAUGUGAGUGCGUUACUCGUUCGAAAAAGUGCCCAUCUCGACAUUGAGCUUGGUGGUGGUGAAGGGAUUGGGGUUGCCACGGCUGUCUUACGACCGAUUUCGUAGUGUCGCAGGUGUUGCUGGUUUUGUUGCUUGAGGGGUGGGAUUUGCUGCCUUGUGAAUUCCGGGUGAGGUUUGGAUUCUUGUUUCGUUGGAAUUCGGUUCCCCCGAUCAGGGAGGGAUUGUUCAGCAGGUUUUGUCAUUUCUUUUUUCUUUUUUAUUUGAGGAUGGCGCAACUGAUGUCUGCUCCAUGGAUCGCUUGCGGGGCGGUUAGGUUUGAUAGCUGUGAGCACAAGAAUUCUAGAGGUUUCAGGAAUGGGUGGAAUGUAGGUGUGAGUCGGCCUCGAACAGAUUUUUUAGCGACGUGUGAGGUCAGACCUAGCCUUUGUUCUCGUAGAAGUAGCUCUCGGAGUGGUUUGCGAUUGGUUGAAAGUCAUCAAGGGCGAGACGAGGUUGGGGUGGUGGCCGGGCUGAUAGAAGAGACGGAAGAGACCUUGAUUUCAGAGGGAGCGGGUGGCGAUGGCGUGGCUGUGGUUACGGCGGAGGCGAAUGUAGAUUUAAAUGUGGAUGAUUUGGGGAACAACACGCGGAAGGUGGAGGCUACAAUUGCAAUCCAGGCUCCGUUAGAGGCAGUGUGGGGAGUGUUGACAGAUUAUGACCACCUGGCCGACCAUAUUCCGGGGCUUGCUGAAAGCAGUGUGCUACAGCGUCGGUCUAACGGAGCUCGCCUUAAGCAGAUUGGACAGAAAAAUUUUGCUCUGGGAGUGAAGUUCAAAGCUAAAGCUGUGGUAGAAGUCACUGAGGAGGCUGCUCAAGACUUGGAUGAUGGCACACUACGGGACUUACAUUUCGAAACUGUGGAGGGGGAUUUCCAGGUUUUCAAAGGAACCUGGCGUAUGCUUGAGAAGUCGUUGGAGAGCAAUGAUGCUAAAGUAGAGACCUACUUAUCGUACAUCCUGGAGGUACAACCAAAGCGUUGGAUGCCUGUGGCGUUGAUCGAAGGCGUUCUAGGUCAAGAGAUCACUUGUAAUCUUAUCUCUGUCCGGAACGUUGCGUUGCGAAUUCACAACUCACUGUAAACAUCCUAUGCAUAGUUCCUGCAAAGCUCUCUGCGUUGAGCGGCUUAUGCAUACGCUGGGGGUUUCAAUGGCAGUUCAUCAAGCAUUAAAGUGGCUUUCAAAUCAUGAUAUGUCCAGCGCUGAUGUGUUGAGCGACGAGCCUUGGUAGAAGUUUUGAAGUUGUGGAUUAAUGGCAAAAGUAACCUCGUCCCAAACUGAAGCUCUUGUAUGAGCAAAUCAGUUGCCUCAAUAUUCUAUGAAACUGAAUGAAGCGACAGGAGGAUCCUCUACUCCAAGGGGUUCGGAGGAUAGGUCACCAAAGUUGGAAAAUUUUCAGUUAUUAACAUCCAACUGGUGAUAAUCACCACUAUGUUCCUGAAAGGUUGGUAAUGAGCUUUAGUCGAAUGGGUUUCCGAAACUGAAACCUUUUGAAACUUUGUAGAAUUAAGCCUCCUGCUCUGGGACCUCUCUUAGUAGUUACUAUUUUAUUAUUCUUGCACCAGUUCCUUCUCUUGACAGGAUCAAAAAGCCUUGUUUUUCAAGUUGUAAGAGACACACAUUUCUGUAAUAUUAGUAGUUGCAUUGGGUCAUGCUCAGUAUCCAAGACUUAUCUA